rnacentral:lncRNA from 1 species
GGGUGCUCAUCACAGAUGGAACAAUGGCGAGAGCACACCUGGACAGGGGAGGGGCAGGAGUUCUGAUUCCUGACACAGGUUUCCUGGUUGAAUGUUCUGUUGUAGAAGAAUGCAACUGAGUUUUCUAAACAGAUCUUCUUCUUGACAUCCUUGCUGAACGAGAGCAAAGGAGACAGCUGGGAGCAGAUGGGCAAAUCCCAGUUUGCCCAAAGAAAUGUCUAUUUUCCAAGGGGCAUGAAGAAUUUAGGAAUAAAGCAGAUCUGAUUUCUAAUUCUGACUUUGCUACUGGCAAAUUGUGUGGACUCAGGAAAGUGACCGGCCCUCUUUAAGACUCAGUGUGCUUACCUCUGAAAUGGAGCUGUCAAUCACAUCUGCCUCACAGGCUUGUUCUGAGGAUGAAGUGAGAAAAUGCCCACGAGGUGCUGGUUGCAGCAGCUGGUGCAUAGAGCUUAAAAAGGAUGCAGUCCCAAAACAUAGAAGGAUUUACUCCAGAUCCAAGCAAUGAGUCAGGAACAGAAAGCCUGAUGCCCUCACCUGGAACUCUCCCUCCUCCCUGGAUGAGGACCUUCCCCAGAAUUGCAGGGCACCCACACAAGACCAAGCAAGUUCAGAGAAAAUUGAAACCUGACUUUAGAGCCUCUGGGAUGUUCACUACACCUCAUUGAACCUGUUUGGUUCACAGUAGAGCUCCAACUACCGUCUACUUCCUGCAACUGGCCUGCUGCCAACUCCCCAGAUCUCUUGUGGAGCUGCCGGAAGAGACAGCCUGCCACAGAAGAAAGCAGCCCUCCUCUUUCAUGGCCUCCCACAUCUUGAAACAAACACAAGCAAACAAAACAAAAGCUUGAGUCCCAGCCUGAUUCACCAGGUUUGGUUCCCAAUUGUUGAAAUUCCCUUCCCAGGGCUCUCAGAACCAGGGUUGGCUGGAGGGGUGAAAGAGGCUGGCCCUGAGCCCAGUAAUAGGACACCAAGGGGGAGCUAAAAGCUGGGAUCUGGGGUGAAGAUGGGGUCUUCCAAGCUGGGAGGCAGACACCAGGCCAGAGCAACCGGCCUGCCCCAGCUCAGGCCUCUUAACCCAUGCAGGGCAAGAGUAUAAACAGAGGCCACGGACCACAUGCCUCAGUAUUUAAACUUAUAAAUCAAGCUAACAUAACAUGAAAUCAAAUAUGUUCUAUCCUCCUAGCUUGACAAAUACUUUCAUAACGAGAUGGAAUGCCAGGUUCAGAUUUAGAAUUUUCACACUCCUUAAAGUUCCAAGUCAAAAUACAGCAUUAGGGGAGGGCCCCCAACCUCGAGGUCUCCCCUCCCCCAUUUUCUUUCACUCCCAGCUCUGUCUCACACCACGAGGGAUCUUGGGUGAAUGCCCCUCGAUACCCCAGCCCCCCACAAACAGCUGCCCUUUCCCCCCUUGGCCAAGGGUAAGCACAGCAGCAGGGCAGUCUGCCCUUGGCUGGAGAGAUGGAAGGAGAGGCCACACGGGCCCUGAAAAUGCAUUUGGGGACUCUUGGGCAGGAAACUUGGGAGUUUCUGGAGCCUCAAGGAGGGUCUAGUGGGACAGAGCCACUUGGGCCCAUGAGAUCCUUGACCCAUGGAGAAGGGUAGGGCUAGAGGAGGGCCAGGGCAGGCCCUAUGAACAGAAGAACCUAGAGUAACUGCCCUGUCCCCAGAUCCUGUCACCGAGCAGGUAUACUUGGGAGGGUAUUGGAGGGUGGAACCCAAGGGAGCUUGCCCAAGGCACUAGGAAAGAAAAGUGUAAACCUUGUUAGAGAAUGCUAAGGAUAGCUGUUAAAGCCUCAGAGAUUUUACUCAUUUUUGGCUGUUUCUAAAAAUCUUCCCCCAAAGGAAGAUCUUGCUCUCAUUGAGGAUCUGAGAAAGAAUUCUCUCCAAGUAGUUUCAAAACAUUCUGAUGUAAAAACUCUGGUGUGUUAGUCAAAAAUAAAUUUUGUUGCUUGAUGGCUUCACCAUUCACAAAAUAUUCUAUCCAUCCAAUUUAAAAAUAAGAGCAGGGUAUUUAAAACUCUUUCAAUAAACACAAAUUAAAACAAUG